CACGUAGGCGGACUCUUAAGUCGGUGGUGAAAUCCUAGAGCUCAACUCUAGAACUGCCUUCGAUACUGAGAGUCUUGAGUCCGGGAGAGGUGAGUGGAACUGCGAGUGUAGAGGUGAAAUUCGUAGAUAUUCGCAAGAACACCAGUGGCGAAGGCGGCUCACUGGCCCGGUACUGACGCUGAGGUGCGAAAGCGUGGGGAGCAAACA
rnacentral:rRNA from 1 species